CUGGUUAUACUUGUACUGAGAAGCUUAUGAACACGUUGCUUCCAAGGUCAGAUCCACCUUCAUUGUUGGAGUACGGGGAAUUGUAUGGAGAUGUAGUGGAACAUGAUGAACAAGGAGGAGGGGGGGAAGGUCCUGGUUUUGUUGGAGAAGUGUUGAUGGAAGAGGAGGAAAUGAAGGAAAUGGAGGAUGCAAAAGAAGGGGUUGAAAUGAGGAUUGAGUUGGUGAUAGAGGAGAGCGGUGGUUACGAGGGAGAACCUACUCUAGUUGAAGAUGAUAAAGUCUUCGAAAUAGCAGAGGAAGAAAGAGAGAUCAAUGUAGAUGAGGGUGGUAGAGAGGAAGGAUAUGAAGAAGAUGCUGGUGUAUACUUGGAAGGAGAGAAUGAGGGACCAAUUAGGGAGAAGAUAUUGGAAAUCGAGCAAGGGGGAGAUGCAGAAAAUUGGGAAGUUGAUGAAAAAAAUAAGGGAAGGGAGGAUUUGGAUUUGAUGGCCACAGAAUCCAGGGGAGAAAAUGAGGGUGAAAAAAAUGUUACUUUACCACCAAGUCUGCCAGAGGGGAAUUUGGUUGAAGUAUAUGUAGGAGAUGCAGUGAAGGAAGAUAGCCACACCUUAGAGAGUUCAGGUGGA
rnacentral:lncRNA from 1 species